rnacentral:tRNA from 1 species
GUUCUUAAGGUGUUGUGUACACGUUAGUUUUUCAUAUUAAAGUAAAGGGGUAGCCCUUUAAGAACU